rnacentral:rRNA from 1 species
GACGAACGCUGGCGGCGUGCCUAAUACAUGCAAGUAGAACGCUGAGGGAGGAGCUUGCUUCUCUGGAUGAGUUGCGAACGGGUGAGUAACGCGUAGGUAACCUGCCUGGUAGCGGGGGAUAACUAUUGGAAACGAUAGCUAAUACCGCAUAAUAGUAGAGGUUGCAUGACAUUUGCUUAAAAGGUGCAAUUGCAUCACUACCAGAUGGACCUGCGUUGUAUUAGCUAGUUGGUGGGGUAACGGCUCACCAAGGCGACGAUACAUAGCCGACCUGAGAGGGUGAUCGGCCACACUGGGACUGAGACACGGCCCAGACUCCUACGGGAGGCAGCAGUAGGGAAUCUUCGGCAAUGGGCGGAAGUCUGACCGAGCAACGCCGCGUGAGUGAAGAAGGUUUUCGGAUCGUAAAGCUCUGUUGUAAGAGAAGAACGAGUGUGAGAGUGGAAAGUUCACACUGUGACGGUAUCUUACCAGAAAGGGACGGCUAACUACGUG